AGUGAACGCUGGCGGUAGGCCUAACACAUGCAAGUCGAACGGCAGCACAGUAAGAGCUUGCUCUUACGGGUGGCGAGUGGCGGACGGGUGAGGAAUACAUCGGAAUCUACUUUUUCGUGGGGGAUAACGUAGGGAAACUUACGCUAAUACCGCAUACGACCUACGGGUGAAAGCAGGGGAUCUUCGGACCUUGCGCGAUUGAAUGAGCCGAUGUCGGAUUAGCUAGUUGGCGGGGUAAAGGCCCACCAAGGCGACGAUCCGUAGCUGGUCUGAGAGGAUGAUCAGCCACACUGGAACUGAGACACGGUCCAGACUCCUACGGGAGGCAGCAGUGGGGAAUAUUGGACAAUGGGCGCAAGCCUGAGCCAGCCAUACCGCGUGGGUGAAGAAGGCCUUCGGGUUGUAAAGCCCUUUUGUUGGGAAAGAAAAGCAGCAGGUUAAGACCCCGCUGUUCUGACGGUACCCAAAGAAUAAGCACCGGCUAACUUCGU
rnacentral:rRNA from 1 species